GACGAACGCUGGCGGCGUGCCUAAUACAUGCAAGUAGAACGCACAGUUUAUACCGUAGCUUGCUACACCAUAGACUGUGAGUUGCGAACGGGUGAGUAACGCGUAGGUAACCUGCCUGGUAGCGGGGGAUAACUAUUGGAAACGAUAGCUAAUACCGCAUAAUAUUAAUUAUUGCAUGAUAAUUAAUCGAAAGGUGCAAUUGCACCACUACCAGAUGGACCUGCGUUGUAUUAGCUAGUAGGUGAGGUAACGGCUCACCUAGGCGACGAUACAUAGCCGACCUGAGAGGGUGCUCGGCCCCACUGGGACUGAGACACGGCCCAGACUCCUACGGGAGGCAGCAGUAGGGAAUCUUCGGCAAUGGACGAAAGUCUGACCGAGCAACGCCGCGUGAGUGAAGAAGGUUUUCGGAUCGUAAAGCUCUGUUGUAAGAGAAGAACGGGUGUGAGAGUGGAAAGUUCACACUGUGACGGUAUCUUACCAGAAAGGGACGGCUAACUACGUG
rnacentral:rRNA from 1 species